rnacentral:lncRNA from 1 species
GGAAAAGUCGCUGUGGUUGGUUCUUAGGCGGCUUCCAAGCCCAUGCUGAUCAGCAUCACUUGCCUCUGGCCACCCUCCCCUGUGACCGGCAGCACAUGUCGCCCCACGCGGCCCCGGCUUGGGGAGCGUAAGGCAUGUGGGCCUCCAUGCGGCCGCCAGACGAGGGCGGGACCGGGACGCUUCGCCCUGCCUGGGGCUCCUGGUGGUUCCAAUGUGCAGCUGACUCUGAAAACCAGCAGUGCAAGAGCUCGCUGCUCAGAGCUGGUCCCAAGCCCGGCAGCAUGAACCACAACUGGGAGCUUGUCAGAAAUGCAGAAUCUUGAGCCCCAGCUGGGAUCUACUGAAUCAGCAUUUGCAUUUUAAAAAUAACAGCCCUAUUAAAGUAUCAUUCACAUGCCA